UACGUAGGCAGCGAGCGUUGUUCGGAAUUACUGGGCGUAAAGAGUGUGUAGGCGGUGCUCUAAGUUCGGUGUGAAAUCUCCUGGCUCAACUGGGAGGGUGCGCCGGAAACUGGAGUGCUUGAGCGUGGGAGAGGAAAGCGGAAUUCCUGGUGUAGCGGUGAAAUGCGUAGAUAUCAGGAGGAACACCUGUGGUGUAGACGGCUUUUCUGGACCAUAGCUGACGCUGAGACACGAAAAGCGUGGGUAGCAAAACAGG
rnacentral:rRNA from 1 species